rnacentral:rRNA from 1 species
UGGGGAAUAAUGCACAAUGGGCGGAAGCCUGAUGCAGCAACGCCGCGUGCGGGAUGACGGCCUUCGGGUUGUAAACCGCUUUCGCCUGUGACGAAGCGUGAGUGACGGUAAUGGGUAAAGAAGCACCGGCUAACUACGUGCCAGCAGCCGCGGUGAUACGGAGGGUGCGAGCGUUGUCCGGAUUUAUUGGGCGUAAAGGGCUCGUAGGUGGUUGAUCGCGUCGGAAGUGUAAUCUUGGGGCUUAACCCUGAGCGUGCUUUCGAUACGGGUUGACUUGAGGAAGGUAGGGGAGAAUGGAAUUCCUGGUGGAGCGGUGGAAUGCGCAGAUAUCAGGAGGAACACCAGUGGCGAAGGCGGUUCUCUGGGCCUUUCCUGACGCUGAGGAGCGAAAGCGUGGGGAGCGAACA